CCUACGGGUGGCAGCAGUAGGGAAUAUUGCUCAAUGGGGGAAACCCUGAUGCAGCAACGCCGCGUGGAUGAUGAAGGUUUUAGGAUUGUAAACUCCUUUUGGCAGAGAAGAUUAUGACGGUAUCUAACGAAUAAGCACCGGCUAACUCCGUGCCAGCAGCCGCGGUAAUACGGAGGGUGCAAGCGUUAGUCGGAAUCACUGGGCGUAAAGUGUGCGUAGGCGGGGUAAUAAGUCAGAUGUGAAAUCCUGUGGCUUAACCACAGAACUGCAUUUGAAACUGUUAAUCUGGAGUGUGGGAGAGGUAGGUGGAAGUCUUGGUGUAGGGGUGAAAUCCGUAGAGAUCAAGAGGAAUACUCAUUGCGAAGGCGGCCUGCUGGAACAUUACUGACGCUGAUGCACGAAAGCGUGGGGAGCAAACAGGAUUAGAUACCCUUGUAGUC
rnacentral:rRNA from 1 species